rnacentral:lncRNA from 1 species
AAAAAUGUCAUUUAGGGCAAUUAAUCCUUUCAGGAUUUUGUUAAUUUAGCCAUGUUGACAUUUUUGUAAAUGUUAUUUUGCUUGUUCAAGUUUCUAUUUACGGAACAUUUACAAAACAAAUGUAAGAAUUUGGUAAAAAUCAUCAAGCAGGGUAAAUGACUCCUAAAAGUAGUGAGUUGACAAUUUCUACCAACUUAUUGCGCUCAACAUCUUUGAUAUUUACAAUUUUUAUGCCCCACCUACAAAAGUAGAGGGGCAUCAUGUGUUCUGGUCUGUGGGUCCGUUCAUCCGCUCUUCUGUCUGUCCC